CCCUUAGAUGUUCUGGGCCGCACGCGCGCUACACUGAAGGGAUCAGCGUGUUUUCCCUUUCCGAGAGGAGCGGGUAACCCGCUGAACCCCCUUCGUGGUAGGGAUCGGAGCUUGCAAUUGUUCUCCGUGAACCAGGAAUUCCCAGUAAGCGCAAGUCAUAAGCUUGCGUUGAUUACGUCCCUGCCCUUUGUACACACCGCCCGUCGCUACUACCGAUUGAACGUUUUAGUGAGGUAUUUGGACUGGGCCUUGGGAGGUUUCGGCCUCCCUUGUUGCUCGGAAAGACUCCCAAACUUGAGCGUUUAGAGGAAGUAAAAGUCGUAACA
rnacentral:rRNA from 1 species